CAGUCGCCACGGGAAUACGAAGGGUGCAAACGUUGCCCGGAAUUAUUGGGCGUAAAGCGCACGUAGGCGGCUUAGCAAGUCUGAUGUGAAAUCCCUCGGCUUAACCAAGGAAGUACAUCGGAAACUGCUGAGCUUGAGUACUUAAGAGGAUCGCGGAAUUCCCGGUGUAGAGGUGAAAUUCGUAGAUAUCGGGAGGAACACCAGUGGCGAAGGCGGCGAUCUGGGAAGAUACUGACGCUGAGGUGCGAAAGCGUGGGGAGCAAACAGGAUUAGAUACCCCCGUAGUCCCUGUCUCUUAUAC
rnacentral:rRNA from 1 species